rnacentral:rRNA from 1 species
CUGCGAACGGCUCAUUAAAUCAGUUAUCGUUUAUUUGAUAGUACCUUUACCUACUUGGAUAACCGUGGUAAUUCUAGAGCUAAUACAUGCUAAAAGUCCCGACCUCUGGAAGGGACGUAUUUAUUAGAUAAAAAACCAAUGCCCUUCGGGGCUUCUUGGUGAUUCAUGAUAACUUUACGAAUCGCAUGGCCUUGUGCCGGCGAUGGUUCAUUCAAAUUUCUGCCCUAUCAACUUUCGAUGGUAGGAUAGUGGCCUACCAUGGUUUCAACGGGUAACGGGGAAUUAGGGUUCGAUUCCGGAGAGGGAGCCUGAGAAACGGCUACCACAUCCAAGGAAGGCAGCAGGCGCGCAAAUUACCCAAUCCCGACACGGGGAGGUAGUGACAAGAAAUACUGAUACAGGGCCCAUCUGGGUCUUGUAAUUGGAAUGAGUACAAUUUAAAGCCUUUAACGAGGAACAAUUGGAGGGCAAGUCUGGUGCCAGCAGCCGCGGUAAUUCCAGCUCCAAUAGCGUAUAUUAAAGUUGUUGCAGUUAAAAAGCUCGUAGUUGAACUUUGGGUCUGGGUGACUGGUCCCCCGAUUGGGUGUGUACUGGAAACCCGGAUCUUUCCUUCUGGAGAACCUCAUGCCCUUCACUGGGUGUGCUGGGGAACUAGGACUUUUACUUUGAAAAAAUUAGAGUGUUCAAAGCAGGCUUUUGCUCGAAUACAUUAGCAUGGAAUAAUAAAAUAGGACGUGCGGUUCUAUUUUGUUGGUUUCUAGGACCGCCGUAAUGAUUAAUAGGGAUAGUCGGGGGCAUCCGUAUUCGAUUGUCAGAGGUGAAAUUCUUGGAUUUUUCGAAGACGAACUACUGCGAAAGCAUUUGCCAAGGAUGUUUUCAUUAAUCAGGAACGAAAGUUGAGGGAUCGAAGACGAUCAGAUACCGUCGUAGUCUCAACCAUAAACUAUGCCGACUAGGAAUCGGGCGAUGUUUUCAAUUUGACUCGCUCGGCACCUUACGAGAAAUCAAAGUUUUUGGGUUCUGGGGGGAGUAUGGUCGCAAGGCUGAAACUUAAAGGAAUUGACGGAAGGGCACCACCAGGAGUGGAGCCUGCGGCUUAAUUUGACUCAACACGGGGAAACUCACCAGGUCCAGACACAUUAAGGAUUGACAGAUUGAGAGCUCUUUCUUGAUUAUGUGGGUGGUGGUGCAUGGCCGUUCUUAGUUGGUGGAGUGAUUUGUCUGCUUAAUUGCGAUAACGAACGAGACCUUAACCUGCUAAAUAGCCGGGCUCGCUUUUGCGAGAUUCU